AGACUAUGGAUGUCCACUCUGGAAAGCUGUGGUGUGAUGGCUGUGGGGUAGCCCAGAACAUCAUCAUUGCAUCCACUGGUGCUGCCAAGGCUAUAGGCAAGGUCAUCCCAGAUCCCAGAGCUGAAUGGAAAGCUCACUGGUAUGGCUUUCCACGUUCCUACCCACAAUGUAUCUGUUAUGGAUCUGACAUGCUGCCUGAAGAAACCUGUCAAGUAUGAUGACAUCAAGAAGGUGGUGAAGCAGGCAUCUGAGGGCCCACUAAAGGGCAUCCUGGGCUACACUGAGGACCAGGUUGUCUCCUUUGACUUCAACAUCAACUCCCACUCUUCCACCUUUGAUGCUGAGGCUGGCAUUACUCUCAAUGACAACUUUUGUAAAGCUCACUUCCUGGUAUGACAAUGAAUAUGGCUACAGCAACAGGGUGGUAGAUCUCACGGCCUUCAUGGACUCUAAGGAAUAAGAAACCCUGGA
rnacentral:lncRNA from 1 species